rnacentral:rRNA from 1 species
UAGGGAAUCUUCGGCAAUGGACGAAAGUCUGACCGAGCAACGCCGCGUGAGUGAAGAAGGUUUUCGGAUCGUAAAACUCGUUGGUAGAGAAGAACGUUUGGUGAGAGUGGAAAGCUCAUCAAGUGACGGUAACUACCCAGAAAGGGACGGCUAACUACGUGCCAGCAGCCGCGGUAAUACAGUAGGUCCCGAGCGUUGUCCGGAUUUAUUGGGCGUAAAGCGAGCGCAGGUGGUUUAUUAAGUCUGGUGUAAAAGGCAGUGGCUCAACCAUUGUAUGCAUUGGAAACUGGUAGACUUGAUGCAGGAGAGGAGAGUGGAAUUCCAUGUGUAGCGGUGAAAUGCGUAGAUAUAUUGGAGGAACACCGGUGGCGAAAGCGGCUCUCUGGCCUGUAACUGACACUGAGGCUCGAAAGCGUGGGGAGCAAACA